UACGAAGGGGGCUAGCGUUGCUCGGAAUCACUGGGCGUAAAGGGUGCGUAGGCGGGUCUUUAAGUCAGGGGUGAAAUCCUGGAGCUCAACUCCAGAACUGCCUUUGAUACUGAAGAUCUUGAGUCCGGGAGAGGUGAGUGGAACUGCGAGUGUAGAGGUGAAAUUCGUAGAUAUUCGCAAGAACACCAGUGGCGAAGGCGGCUCACUGGCCCGGUACUGACGCUGAGGCACGAAAGCGUGGGGAGCAACAGGG
rnacentral:rRNA from 1 species